UACAGAGGGUGCGAGCGUUAAUCGGAAUUACUGGGCGUAAAGCGCACGUAGGUGGCGACGUAAGUCGGGUGUGAAAGCCCCGGGCUCAACCUGGGAAUUGCAUUCGAGACUGCAUUGCUGGAGUACGGAGGAGGAAGGCGGAAUUCCAGGUGUAGCGGUGAAAUGCGUAGAUAUCUGGAGGAACACCGGUGGCGAAGGCGGCAUCCUGGACCAACACUGACGCUGAGUGAGCGAAAGCCAGGGGAGCAAACGGG
rnacentral:rRNA from 1 species